rnacentral:rRNA from 1 species
AUGCCUACCUCCUCCUCCGUCAACCCGGAACAUGGCGUCGUCACCGCGGCCGAACUCCUCUCCGCCUACGCCGCCGUGCCGUCGAGGGCCACGGGCGCCGAGGGCUUCGCCUCGUCCGUGCGCACCCAGCACGAGGUCGACGCGCUCUGCGAGAAGUACGGCGUACCCAAGGAGUUCACCGCGCGCCCCGCAGGCGACCUGCGCGCGAACUCGACGCCGCCGCCGGGGGCCAUCUGCGUGUACGCGAGGGCGCUCAAGGCCGGGAUGCGCGUCCCGCUGCACCGCUUCUUCCGCGAGGUGCUCGCCCACUUCGGCAUCGCGCCGGCGCAGCUCUCGCCCAACGGGUGGCGCGCCAUGGCGGGCUUCCACGCGCUCUGCGACUCCGCUGGGGUGCCGCCGUCGCUCGCGGUGUUCCGGCGUUUCUUCGUGAUGUGCAGUCUCUGCCAGGAGCACGAAAAAGGCUGGUACUCAUUCCGGCCCAGGCGGGACAGCUCCGGCUUGUGCUUCAGGGGUUUGCCGAAGCCGGAUGCCAACUCCAUCAAGUGA